rnacentral:rRNA from 1 species
GCUAGAACGAACGCUGGCGGCGCGUUUAAGCAUGCAAGUCGAGCGGCAAGGGCCUUCGGGCCCCUAGAGCGGCGGACGGGUGAGUAACACGUGGACAAUCUGCCCCCCGGCCCGGGAUAGCCCAGGGAAACCUGGAUUAAUACCAGAUGAGACGGGACCCGCGAUGGCGGGAUCCGGGAAAGGCGCUGCGGCGCCGCCGGGGGAUGAGUCUGCGUCCCAUUAGCUAGACGGCGGGGUAACGGCCCACCGUGGCGACGAUGGGUAGCCGGCCUGAGAGGGUGGACGGCCACAUUGGAACUGAGACACGGUCCAGACUCCUACGGGAGGCAGCAGCUAAGAAUCUUCCGCAAUGGGCGAAAGCCUGACGGAGCGACGCCCGCGUGAACGAAGAAGGCCGUGAGGUUGUAAAGUUCUUUUCGGGAGGGGGAACAACCGUGGCAGGGAAUGGCCGCGGGAUGACGUGAAUCCCGGAAUAAGCCCCGGCUAACUACGUGCCAGCAGCGGC